rnacentral:rRNA from 1 species
ACUCCUACGGGAGGCAGCAGUGGGGAAUAUUGCACAAUGGGCGCAAGCCUGAUGCAGCCAUGCCGCGUGUGUGAAGAAGGCCUUCGGGUUGUAAAGCACUUUCAGUCGUGAGGAAGGUGGUAGUGUUAAUAGCACUAUCAUUUGUACGUUAGCGACAGAAGAAGCACCGGCUAACUCCGUGCCAGCAGCCGCGGUAAUACGGAGGGUGCGAGCGUUAAUCGGAAUUACUGGGCGUAAAGCGCAUGCAGGUGGUUGUUAAGUCAGAUGUGAAAGCCCGGGGCUCAACCUCGGAAUAGCAUUUGAAACUGGCAAACUAGAGUACUGGUAGAGGGGGUAGAAUUUCAGGUGUAGCGGUGAAAUGCGUAGAGAUCUGAAGGAAUACCGGUGGCGAAGGCGGCCCCUGGACAGAUACUGACACUCAGAUGCGAAAGCGUGGGAGCAAACAGAUUAGAUACCCCUGGUAGACAGU